UUUUUUUUUUUGGGUAAAUGUCACUGAGGUAUUACAUACAUAUAAGAAAAGUUCAUAAAGCACAGGUCCCAGGUUUCAUGAAUUUUCACAAACUGAACACAUCCAGGUCAUCAGCAUCCAGGUCCAGAAACAGAACACUAGCAGGACCCCUUCAAAGGUGGCCUUUAAAAAAUUCCAACCAAGGUGACUCUGUUCACUAAGCCAGUGUUCCCCAGGCUGUGACCAGCCUAAGAGGCACCUUUUCCAAGUCUGCACAAGAAUCUUCUAUGCGCUCGUGAUGUCUGCAGACAGGUGGGCACGCCCCUCGAGAACGUACCACCCACAGAGAGGGACAGGUAGGGACUGAGGUGACAACCACAGGAUGCAGGAUGGGGCAAGUGACACUGCAGAGAGGGAGGCCCUCCUAGGUCCACACCCCUCCUCUCUCCCUGACUCAGUCCCAUCUCCUCCCCACAUUAAUAUCACAUCCUCUCACUAUCGGAGCUGGGAGGGGACACCAGGAUGAGACGCUCACUGUCCAUGGGACAGGAAGAAGCAACCAGGGUCACUGUCUUGCGUUUGAAUGUUGCCAUUUGGCUGCUAGGCGAAUAGUGGAAGUGAGUACGUUUUAGUGCUUCAUGGAAAAGAUCACUAUUGAGACAUCUGAGGCUUCCUCACCUGACUUCUCGAGAGCCUGAGGAAAGGAGCCUGAUCAGGCCCUCCCCUGGCACAUGUUAAUUCUUUUCAAAGUGGCACACACCUUCUGCCCAUCACCAGACUCACAUGCCACAAGGACUGGACCCCAGAGCGCCGUCCCUAGAGCAAAACUGAGACUGCUCAAGGGAUACUAAAAUGCGGACUAGAUGAAUGCAAAGGCUAUAAAAAAAAAAAAAAGAAAAAUAUGCUAUAACUGGGAGUGGUUAAUGUCAUGGUCCAGUGGUUAAUGAAUCUGACAAGGAACCAUGAGAUGUUCCAUUUUCUACUUAAUGUUCCUUUCCAAUGAAGUUUCAAGAUGAGUGUCUAGGAUGCCCUGCCUACCUGGCAGCCCUCGAAGGACCAGAAUCUGGACCUCUCGCCAGAGAACAUGGUUGGAAGGUGGGGUUUCAUCAGAAAAUAUGCAGCAAUCAUAUAGAUAACUGUUCUUUCCCAAAAGCUCCAAGGUUUGCAAACAUAAAGUUCUCAUUCAUCUUACUGCUGAGCAUUUUUUUUUUUUUGUCUUUUCUAGGGCUGCACCAGCGGCAUAUGGAGGUUCCCAGGCUAGGGGUCUAAUCAGAGCUGUGGCUGCCGGCCUAUGCCACAGCCACAGUAAUGCGGGAUCCGAGCCACAUCUGUGACCUACACCACAGCUCACGGCAACGCCAGAUACUUAACUCACUGAGCGAAGCCAGGGAUCGAACCCACAACCUCAUGGUUCCUAGUCAGAUUCGUUAACCUCUGAGCCACAACAGGAACUCCUGCUGAGCACUUCUCAGUCAGUGGAAUGUUCAAGUUCAAGGUCAGGAAGAGAAUCAACAGUGAGGGAAAGAUGGGAGAGUUCAGCGUGGGAGCUGCAGACCUGGGCGUCCUGCUGGGCCAGGUGCUUGCCAUCUCUUCAAGGGACACUUGCAGGACUGUUCUACCCAGUUCUAUGCCUCAGACCUCACCUGCUCUCCUGAUUCGUGUUUCCUCCUCUGCCUCACACUCCUGGUCCCCACUUCCAUUUGCUGACAUCUCCCCCCUAAUGAACUAUUCAAUCUCUGGUCUUGGCUCUGCUGUUUCAGGGCGUCCCGAGCCACACAGGCGGGAUCCCUGCAUGUGUCCAAGCCAGGGCUGUGUGCACAGGGGCUGCCAGGGGACAGCACUUUGCCUACCCAGGAUAGGAAGUUCCUGGGCCCCCCUCCACCACUGAAGACAGGAAGAGAAGAAAUGGCUUGCAGGCCUCUGCUCUCCCUCCAAUAACUAAUACUUCAGGGAGCGUUUGCUAGGUGCCGGAAUUAUGCUAAUUUGCAGGGUUAAAUUUCAGGAGAUCCUGGACUGCUUCCUGCGAAAUGGGCUCUAGUGUCCCCCAGAGUGUCCUAAAGCUUCAGGAUGAUAUGCUACCAAAUUGGGAGAUGGAGGUGGGGUCCCAGAUUUGACCCCAAGGUGGUUUGAGUCCCACCUCACACCCCUGCCCAUGACCAUGGGGCACAAGCCCCGGAAGGCAGCAUGGACUUGGGGAACCAUGAGAGACUUCUUCUGGGGAGAAAGGACAGAUAACCAGCUCUUUGAUGCCGUGACUUCAGGGUGCAGAGACGUUGCAUGCCAUCCUGGCAGGGACAUAUGGCGCUGAAGUAAGGCAGGACCAGGGUUGCAUGAAGGAGCAGCCAUGUCCCUUCUCUGACACCCGAGAUUUUGUUUCCAUAUUGGAAAAUGUGGAUUAUAAAAACUAUUUUACACUUAUUACUGAGAUUAAAAGAUUACACAAAGUAAGCACCUGUGACUUGUACAUAAUAAGUGCCCAAUGUGUGGCAGCCAUCCGUGCUGACAUUGUUCUUAGUGAUGCUAAAAUAGCCUCAGAGCAUUGCAUCUGUCCUCGUGCCUGGCGCUGAAGGUCUGGAGACCAGGUGCUGGACUGGGCAGGACUGGUGGGGACCCUGGAUGCUGCAUUUGGGAAAGAGGAGUGGCCACUGCCAUAGGCCUUCCCUAGGACUCAGAACCAGCUAAGGCAGGAGGAGCUGGAGGCAGUGGCUCUCGGGGCCCAAGUCACUAUACAGAAGGGUGCCUGCUGAACACGGCAUCAGACCUUUCCAGAGUGAGAAUCAAGCUUCUACAGCAUUAAACCAAUGAAAUCUGGGGUUCUCUCUCUGUCGGCAGCUAGGGAUACCUUAAGAAAUUCAACAAGGUACUUUCUGAGCAUCCUUCCACCUUUAUGGGAUCCAGAAGGUGGAUGGACGUGCUUUCCAUACCCACAUCCAAGUCACACGGGGGAGAUGCUGAACCACGGAGCCCUGCAGUCAAAGGCCAGGCUCGGCCUGGGGGAAGCUGCUUCAUGACCAAAGUGGCAUGAGCUGGUGGCAGAUGCUGGCAGCAGUGAGCUCUGUGGGCAGGCCAUUUGACACAGGCUCUGUUGUUCACAUGUUUGCCACUCUGUCACACGCAGUUAACAGAGCUCAACAGGACCUGACAGAAAAUCACUACAACCAGAGCAUUCUAUGGAUUUGUCCAAAGCCCAAUAGCCAGUUAGUGGCAAAGCUAAAAUCUCUUGGUUUUGUAGCCCAGAAGGUCCCCCCUAGAGGCAGACGUUCUCAUAGAAUGUGUCAAGGUCACAUGAAGGGCACUCUCUUUCUGAUAUUUACUGCUCCAAGGGAACACCCAGAUCAUCUGAAGGCAGAGAAUAACUGUAACUCCCUCCCUCCCAGGACAGUGCCCCCAAUAAAUCCCCGAAGACAUGUCCCCAGACAACAGGCUUCAGCCAGUGACCAAAUCCAACACCUGCCUGCAGGCAAAGGGUGGACUGAGAAUGACCACCUUUGUUCUUACUGCCAGGAAAGGGAAAGUCUGUAAUUAUACCAACCCUAAGGAGAGACAUGGAUUUCCCAACUUUCACACUUUUUCACCUGUAAAUAUUAGCUUUCCCAUUGAAGCAGCUUAUACGCCAUUUCCCAUGCUUUCCAACAUUGAAUUAAAAGGCUGCCAGCACUCCCUGCACCUGCCCUUCCAAAGCUGCCUCAGAAUAAGCUUUCUCUGCCGAUGCAGCCUCUUCCCUCCUGCAUGUUUGCAAGGGUCACGGAAGCCACACUCAUAAAGGCAGCCUGGGGUCCUGGACAGAGUCAGAGUGAGUCAGAAUUCGAGUGCUGAAGGCUUGUCAGACUCUGUCCACAUCUGGACAAUGGAGAUAAAGGUCAUGGGAGUCUCCGCAAAGGGUUCUUACAAGAAGAGCGAGAUCCCAGGACCUGGUACAUAACACCUGCUCUUUUCUUUUUACGUACUUACUAAAUGAGUUAAACCUUAGAAGAUGAAUCUUUUUAUAAGAGGUUGUAGCAGAGGCUGCUGGCGGGCUGCCCACGGCCCCUCACCUUGACCAAUGCAGUGCACACCUGCCUGACUUCCGCCGGCUGACACCUGUGAGUCUCUGCCUGGGGGCUGAUGUGGGCUGUCAGAGACAACUCUGUUCUCGGCCAGAAACUCCAGGGGCCCAAUGUCCCCCAGAGCCCCUCUCAGCCAACAGCUGGCAGGAGCUGUGGAUAAACAUCCACUUCCUCAUUUCCUGUGUGUGUCCCAUACCCCACCCCCCAUGUCCCCAGUGGGACUGAGGUGCUGUCACCCCCAGGAGUCAAGGGAUAGCUGUUUGGAAGGGCAGAUCAGGGGGUGGGAAAGUGAGACAAGGAUGGGAAGACAACAAGAGAGGGUCCAUCAUUAAGGAAGUUAGAACUGUGGGUUAGAACUUCCUUAAUGAUUCAUUCAUCUCUCUUCUUCCCAUCCCUAUCUCAUUUUCCCCCUCCCUGAACUGCACGGCCAAACAAAUGACAUGCCCUUGAAUCUCUGUCCCUGGGACCUGUAGCCAGAGACCAGGUGGAAUGGGUGCCGUCGAGGGAAUACAGGUGGGGCACUCGCAACUAGACAUCAUAU
rnacentral:lncRNA from 1 species